GCGGGUGUGAUGUAAUCGGUAGCAUCUGAGUGCGCCAUACUCAGUGCGUGGGUUCAAGUCCCUCCACUCGCU
rfam:Nostoc calcicola FACHB-389 FACHB-389_Scaffold_30, whole genome shotgun sequence.